GGGUUGUGAGGUUAAGCGACUAAGCGUACACGGUGGAUGCCCUGGCAGUCAGAGGCGAUGAAGGACGUGCUAAUCUGCGAUAAGCGUCGGUAAGGUGAUAUGAACCGUUAUAACCGGCGAUUUCCGAAUGGGGAAACCCAGUGUGUUUCGACACACUAUCAUUAACUGAAUCCAUAGGUUAAUGAGGCGAACCGGGGGAACUGAAACAUCUAAGUACCCCGAGGAAAAGAAAUCAACCGAGAUUCCCCCAGUAGCGGCGAGCGAACGGGGAGGAGCCCAGAGCCUGAAUCAGUGUGUGUGUUAGUGGAAGCGUCUGGAAAGGCGCGCGAUACAGGGUGACAGCCCCGUACACAAAAAUGCACAUGCUGUGAGCUCGAUGAGUAGGGCGGGACACGUGGUAUCCUGUCUGAAUAUGGGGGGACCAUCCUCCAAGGCUAAAUACUCCUGACUGACCGAUAGUGAACCAGUACCGUGAGGGAAAGGCGAAAAGAACCCCGGCGAGGGGAGUGAAAAAGAACCUGAAACCGUGUACGUACAAGCAGUGGGAGCACGCUUAGGCGUGUGACUGCGUACCUUUUGUAUAAUGGGUCAGCGACUUAUAUUCUGUAGCAAGGUUAACCGAAUAGGGGAGCCGAAGGGAAACCGAGUCUUAACUGGGCGUUAAGUUGCAGGGUAUA
rnacentral:rRNA from 1 species